CACGUAGGGUGCGAGCGUUGUCCGGAAUUAUUGGGCGUAAAGAGCUCGUAGGCGGUGUGUCGCGUCGGCCGUGAAAACCUGCAGCUUAACUGUGGGCUUGCGGUCGAUACGGGCAUCACUGGAGUUCGGUAGGGGAGUGGGGAAUUCCUGGUGUAGCGGUGAAAUGCGCAGAUAUCAGGAGGAACACCGGUGGCGAAGGCGCCACUCUGGGCCGGUACUGACGCUGAGGAGCGAAAGCGUGGGUAGCAAACAGG
rnacentral:rRNA from 1 species